rnacentral:snRNA from 1 species
GGUGGGAGGGCAAUCUGGCUGCCAUCUAUUAUAUCUAUCACCUAUUGAUUUUUCUGAGUUGGUUCUGCUUAUCUGACUUGCUAGGUGGGGUCCCUUUUUUCCCCCUCAGCUCUCCAUCUACAUCCCUCCCACAACUCAGUCAAAAAAGGUGACCUUCCCAUAUAGAGAAGAAAUCACCUUCAGGCAAGGGAACCGAAGUUGUUGAACUCCCUGAAUAUAAUUAUGAAACCAGCUCUACUGUGGAGGGUAAACAAUUUUCUUUAAUUUGCUAAGUCCUU